AUUGAACGCUGGCGGCAGGCCUAACACAUGCAAGUCGAACGAGUGGCGGACGGGUGAGUAAUGUCUGGGAAACUGCCUGAUGGAGGGGGAUAACUACUGGAAACGGUAGCUAAUACCGCAUAACACCCGAUGUGCCCACAUGGGAUUAGCUUGUUGGUGGGGUAACGGCUAACCAAGGCGACGCGCCCUAGCUGGUCUGCGAGGAUGACCAGCCACACUGGAACUGAGACACGGUCCAGACUCCUACGGGAGGCAGCAGUGGGGAAUGUUGCACAAGGGGCGCAAGCCUGAUGCAGCCAUGCCGCGUGGAUGAAGAAGGCCUUCGGGUUGUAAAGUACUUUCAGCAGGGAGGCGUUACCCGCAGAAGAAGCACCGGCUAACUCCGUGCCAGCCGCCGCGGUAAUAC
rnacentral:rRNA from 1 species